rnacentral:tRNA from 6 species
GGAAGGAUGGCCGAGUGGUUGAAGGCGCACGCUUGGAGAGCGUGUGUGGGGAAACUCACCGUGGGUUCGAAUCCCACUCCUUCCG